rnacentral:rRNA from 1 species
AACGAACGCUGGCGGCAUGCCUAACACAUGCAAGUCGAACGGGGCAGCAAUGGCUAGUGGCGGACGGGUGAGGAAUACGUAGGAAUCCGCCCUUAAGUGGGGGAUAACCAGGGGAAACCCUGACUAAUACCGCAUGAUCUCUUCGGAGCAAAGAGGGGGACCGCAAGGCCUCUCGCUUCUGGAUGAGCCUACGUCUGAUUAGCUAGUUGGUAGGGUAAAGGCCUACCAAGGCGACGAUCAGUAACUGGUCUGAGAGGAUGAUCAGUCACACCGGAACUGAGACACGGUCCGGACUCCUACGGGAGGCAGCAGUGGGGAAUAUUGGACAAUGGGCGCAAGCCUGAUCCAGCAAUGCCGCGUGUGUGAAGAAGGCCUUCGGGUUGUAAAGCACUUUAGCCUGGAAAGAAAAAACUUUGGUUAACACCCAAAGUCUUGACGGUACCAGGAGAAUAAGCACCGGCUAACUCUGUGCCAGCCGCCGCAGUAAGAC